CACGUGACACCAGGUCACGUGGGGCGGUCGUGCCUGGCGCACCUGGGCUGGGGUUUCGCGGCUCUGCGGUCCUGGCGCGCUGGCGCAGCCUCGGAGCCCACUGCGCCGGGAGGCUGGGAUGAGGAACCGGAUGACCCCCGACCAGGAGCGGGCGCCGGCGUCCGAGCCCGUGUGGGAGCGGCCGUGGUCGGUGGAGGAGAUCCGUAGGAGCAGCUAGAGCUGGUCGCUGGCGGCCGACGCUGGCUUUCGACAGAGGUCCUCCAUACUUGGUUGGCAACUGCUUCCCCACAUUCCCCGGCAAAGGAGAAGAUCAUAGCAGGGUUUUAUGGAUCCCACCCAAGAGUGGCUCCUACAUGGGGCAAGGCAACCUCAUUACAAAACAGCAGAAAGAGUAGAUUCUGAUGCAGAAGCUAAGACGACAAUCAUAGCCUGUGAGUGGAAGGGGAGCUGUGGAGAGGCCCACAAAACUCCCAGGAGGAAGUCAGCCUAGAACAUGACCUCAGGCAGAAGGAGCCCUUAAUUCUCCUGUCCCCUAUUCCCUCACAAUUCAGAUACGCCCCUGAAGGAGACUUCAUAUGACUCAAAAUGUAACUCAAACCACCAUUUAAAAUUAUCUGAAGCUGACCAAGAAAGCUAAGGGACCUGUCUAGAUUGCUCAGCUGGCCCACAUAGCAUAUUUAAACAGAUGGGGGACAAGGGAAAAUAAAGCUGUUUAUCAGUUGCCCACUGAUUGUUCAACAGAUGACUGUUUGCCUAUUUCUGAUCUGUCACAUACAUACAGCUGACUCCAAGACCCAGGAGAGCAGGGUUCUCUCCCGAGAUCUCUCUGGUUCACUGCUGUACCCCCAGGUCCAGAGCACUGCCAGGCCCAGGUGCUCUGUACAGGCCUGUUGAAUGAACAAAUGUUCUCUAUCACAGAAACUGUCAAAAGAGAAUUGAUGUUGUCAUUGUUUUAAGCCAUUAAGUUUUGGGUGCUCUCUGUAUAGCAGGAGAUAACUGAUGCUGAGGCCUUGCUCCCAGGCCACUCUCCAUCAGCAAGGCAGACCCCUGGCCUUGAAUUCCCCUCGGCCUGCAUGUGGCCUUGGGGGCACUUGUUCAGGCUGUCUUGUUCUAACCUGCUUUCAGCUCAGGCAAACACAGAGGAAUGUGGGGGACACAUCAUAGAAGACACUUCCUGAUGAAGAGGAAGGAGGGAUAAACAGGAACACCUUAAAGAAAAGAAGGGAUCUAAUUUCAGCUUGAAGACACACAUUUUUUUUAUCCUUUACCAGCCAGCAGGACAUGGGCAGCAGAGUGCAGACAUCACAAACAGCAAGAGUGGCAGCAGUCCCCCGAGUAAGGGACACACAAUGACCCAUUACAGAGUUUAGGAAAAAUAGAACUUUUAUUCAUAUGCAUUUUGUUUGGGGUUGGAUUUUUUUUUUUUUUUUUUUUUUUGGACGUCUGACCCUU